GGGUCAGUAGGUUGGUCGUGCCACCGGUACGUACUGGUCUCACUGAUUCCUCCUUCCUGAAGAACUGUAAUGCCAUUAAUUUGGUGUCGCGGGGAAACAGGACUGUUACUUUGAAAAAAUUAGAGUGUUUAAGGCAAGCUAACGCUUGAAUACAUUAGCAUGGAAUAAUGAAAUAGGACGAUCGAUCCUAUUUUGUUGGUUUCUAGGAUUGACGUA
rnacentral:rRNA from 1 species